UACGUAGGGUGCAAGCGUUAAUCGGAAUUACUGGGCGUAAAGCGUGCGCAGGCGGUUUUGUAAGUCUGUCGUGAAAGCCCCGGGCUCAACCUGGGAAUUGCGAUGGAGACUGCAAGGCUUGAAUCUGGCAGAGGGGGGUAGAAUUCCACGUGUAGCAGUGAAAUGCGUAGAGAUGUGGAGGAACACCGAUGGCGAAGGCAGCCCCCUGGGUCAAGAUUGACGCUCAUGCACGCAAGCGUGGGGAGCAAACAGG
rnacentral:rRNA from 1 species